AUACGGAGGAUCCGAGCGUUAUCCGGAUUUAUUGGGUUUAAAGGGUGCGCAGGCGGGAUGUUAAGUCGGCGGUGAAAUUUUGCAGCUCAACUGUAAAAGUCCGCCUUCGAUACUGGCUUUCUUGAGUGUGGAUGAAGUAGGCGGAAUUUGUGGUGUAGCGGUGAAAUGCUUAGAUAUCACGAGGAACUCCGAUUGCGCAGGCAGCUUACUAAACCACUACUGACGCUCAUGCACGAAGGCGUGGGGAUC
rnacentral:rRNA from 1 species